rnacentral:lncRNA from 1 species
AUGGGAAAUGAUGAUCAGCUUCAAUCUUUGCUCAGCAGAUCGGGCAUGAUUACACAUGGCCAUAUGGGUGAUCGUGUUGGUCCAGUUGGCACAGGGGAGGCUGGUCAUACUUCUGUGGCAUCUGGACCUGCCAGUCGAUGCCCAGUUAAUUGGAGCAUGAAUCUGGAUCGACAGGAGGCUCUUGAUGCAAUGGAUAACACAGCAGAAGUUCACCUGGACUCUGUAUACUUGAGGGCAGGUGCUGAUCACAACCCUCAGGGCAUUUCUUCCACAAUCAGCCCCUUCCUUCAGGGCACCCAGAGCAGUUUCCACCUCUCUCAGGUACUUCAGGAAUCACAUAAUAAAACAGAGCAAGCGAUCGACCUGGGCCAUACUGUGGAUCUCGGUGCCCUGGGCUUGCGUGGUGGCCCUUGUGGGGAUUCUCCAGUUCUCAAUGAGCAGCAGAGCACCAGCAGUAAAGACGAUCAACCUGGAGAGUCUCUGGAUGCUAGGUACCUUUCCCAGAGCUUUAAUGAGAAUCAUGAAGAACAUGAUGUUUGGAAUCACCAUACAGACAAUGUGGGGCUUGAGUUACAGCAAGGCGCAAAUGCCACUCAAAGUGUGGUCUACCAGAAUGAAGAGGGAAAGUGGGUCACUGAUUUGGCCUAUUACUCUUCCUUCGAAAAGGAAAUGGAAGCAAAUAUGCCUGAGGAAGUUGCUAUGCCGUUUCAGUCUGAAGAUUUUCUUGCUGGAAGUAAGUGAAAUGCAGUAAUGUUCUCAUUCUUAAUGAAAAUUAGUUUUUGGGUUA